rnacentral:rRNA from 1 species
AACGAACGCUGGCGGCAUGCCUAACACAUGCAAGUCGAACGAGAACUUCGGGUCUAGUGGCGCACGGGUGCGUAACGCGUGGGAACCUGCCCUUAGGUUCGGAAUAACUCCCCGAAAGGGGUGCUAAUACCGGAUAAUGUCUUCGGACCAAAGAUUUGUCGCCUUUGGAUGGGCCCGCGUUGGAUUAGCUAGUUGGUAGGGUAAAAGCCUAUCAAGGCGACGAUCCAUAGCUGGUCUGUGAGGAUGAUCAGCCACACUGGGACUGAGACACGGCCCAGACUCCUGCGGGAGGCAGCAGUGAGGAAUAUUGGACAGUGGGCGAGAGCCUGAUCCAGCAAUGCCGCGUGAGUGAUGAAGGCCUUAGGGUUGUAAAGCUCUUUUACCCGGGAUGAUAAUGACAGUACCGGGAGAAUAAGCUCCGGCUAACUCCGUG